rnacentral:rRNA from 1 species
CUACGGGGGGCAGCAGUGGGGAAUAUUGCACAAUGGGCGCAAGCCUGAUGCAGCCAUGCCGCGUGUAUGAAGAAGGCCUUCGGGUUGUAAAGUACUUUCAGCGGGGAGGAAGGGAGUAAAGUUAAUACCUUUGCUCAUUGACGUUACCCGCAGAAGAAGCACCGGCUAACUCCGUGCCAGCAGCCGCGGUAAUACGGAGGGUGCAAGCGUUAAUCGCAAUUACUGGGCGUAAAGCGCACGCAGGCGGUUUGUUAAGUCAGAUGGGAAAUCCCCGGGCUCAACCUGGGAACUGCAUCUGAUACUGGCAAGCUUGCGUCUCGUAGAGGGGGGUAGAAUUCCAGGUGUAGCGGUGAAAUGCGUAGAGAUCUGGAGGAAUACCGGUGGCGAAGGCGGCCCCCUGGACGAAGACUGACGCUCAGGUGCGAAAGCGUGGGGAGCAAACAGGAUUAGAUACCCGCGUAGUC